CCCGGUGACAUCAGGGGGUUGUGCCCACGGGGAGCCGGGACACCUGUCAGGCUACCCACACAGCCCCGCUCGGUUCCUGUCGGCUCACAGAUGGCAGGGGCGGCCACGUACCAGAAUUAGUGUCACUGUUUGGGUCGCUUCGUUCUGUGCAGGUGUUUUCAACACCACGUCACCUGUCGAGGCCACGUCCCUGGAACAGCCUCUGGGAGCGGGAAGUGCAGGCAGAGCAGCGCCCACAUCCAAGGACCGCCUGGGUCCAGCUCCCGGUAUCUUCGAAGCCAGCCUCGGAGUGGAAGGCCCAUCCGGGGAACUCACUGUGAAACCAGGCGAGGGAGGUGGGCACCCAGCGGCGUGCAGCACCUAGGACUUCCCGCAGGACGGUGGCUCGUGACGUUCACGCAGAGCCGGGGGGGCCUGCGCUGCGCCUGGACCUGGACUCCCGCGCGAUCAGCCCUCGUCGCCAGAGCCGGCUUGGCAGGCGGGCUGCACCGCUGCCCAGACGCCCGCCGCCACCAGGGCCCCACGCUGGUGUCUUCCCACUGCGCCGAGUCACACCUGGCGUACGUACGUGUCGGAGCCACGUGUCAGCGGGUGUGAUGUGUAUAAAUGUACAGGUCACGCUGACACCGGUCGAUCCCGUGUCAGUGUACGUGUGCGUCAGCUCGUCAGCUGUACUUACCAACAUAGCGUCCCGAUACGUCGUGGACAGACAUCUGAAUAACUGGCUACAUAGAGCCGCGCCGUGUGGACAGAGCCAGAAACCUGCCCGGUACGACAUUGAGAACAAAGUCGCCCAAGACCCCAGGUAGGCGCUCUGCUUCCUGGGAGGCCAACAUUCCGGACGCGGAAAGAAUUGAGAACUCUGGUGGGCGCGGGGCCCGGCGGCUGAUGUCACACAGACCGGGUUCCGCUAGGUCUGGAAGAGCAGUCGGCGCCGGUCCCAUCCGCGACUCUGGCCGAAGACGGUGCUCCUGAGGGUCAGGUCUUCAAACGUGGGUGACGCCCGUGAAGAGGACAGUGGGACCUGUGAGGGCUUCAUGACGGAGGGCCUUCCUCCCUCGCGUCGUCCCUCGUCCCUGUGUCGUGUGCUUGGCCUCAGGCGGCCGGGGGCAGCCGGACUCGGGGAUCGUCCCCUCUUCUCUCCAACUGUUCCUCUCCCCGGUUAUUUCAAAGCCUCUGAGCAGACUGACUGGCUUUGCAAGGCUCCCAGUGUUUGAUGAACCAAAUUUCGUACUGCAGGUGCGUGUGACAUGCUUUGAGAUUAUGAUCGCCAUCGACCUGGAGAUUUUGAUUAUCAUUGGCUGCCUCUUACUGAUUAUCGCGUGGUUGCUGAUGUGCUGCGUCCUCCGUCUCUGCUGCCAAGUGUUCAGUAUAUUCCAGUGAAGGGGAACGGCUGGUGGGCAGAGAGAAAUGCCAUUUCACUGGAGGACACGUGCGUGGUUGGAAAGCUCCAGCAGCUGUCAGGCUGAUUUCGGCCUCCCAGGCGGGGCUGUGAGGAGCAGGCCGGGCAGGCUGAGAUUCUCAUGGUUGAGAAUCCAGACAGUGGGGCUGAUGGCAAGGGGAGCAAGAGCUGAGCUGCAGGGGUGGCCCGUCGGCAGCCCCCAAUCCGGGGGACAUUUCAAAUAAACGCACUCCCCCAUCUGACUCAGGCUGACCCCCUCUUGCAGGAUGUUGUAAUUCCCCCUUUUACCAUUUAUUUGCUGCUUUCUUUUCCAUUAGAGGAGACCUCCUGGGAGGGGAGAGUUUUCUAUCAGAGCAAU